AAUCGCUACGUGGUCUGGAUGUCCGUUACAUGCUGUGCUCGACGACUUGGUUUAAUUACAGCUACGUCAUAGCAAUUAUAAACGUUUACCAGCAAAGUAAUCGUAACCUACGCGUAGUCAGUGUCCGCGGCUGAAAUAAGUGACUGGUUAAUCGUAAAUUAAGUGUAAGUCAAAGCUCCGGGUUCACGGAGUGACUGAAUAGCGAUGACAUUCAAUACGACGUCGAAAGAGACGACAAUUUAAUUAAUAAGAUAUGCCAAGGUAAUUUGAGUGAAUUGUCAUAGGCGAACAAUGCACUGUGUAAAGUGAAAGAGAAGAGGAUCGUAUAGCGUGAACGAUAAUGAAAGAGAAGACGAGCGCGGUGAAGUGAGGUUAGGGUUAGGUUGAAUUCGAUUGUUCCAUGCUCGGUCGGUAAAAGGUAAAGCGCGCUACGGCGACCUCGUUCGUCGUAGUCGUCGAUUUCGUCCCCGCCCGACUUUACCGUUAGAAUCGCAGUGAAUAGGCGAUAUUACGCGAGCCAAGUAAUUUCAUUGAAUUUAAUUGAGGAAAUGACGUGGCAGUUAAGCUCUCGUAUCCUCAAUUGGCACGACCUGCACUUUCUACGGUAUUGUGAGUCCCGAUAAACAGAAUACGUUCCCUCUGCCAAUAAGAUAACGUAAGAUUGGAAAGACGGUUAUUGCAUUGUAAACGCGAUUAACUGCUUGCUACUUAGUCGAAAGUAUAAUAAAAGUGAUUUGUGUAUAGUUAAAGCUCCGCUCGUGUACCCGACGCAUCGUGCAAUGCUAAUCUUAAACGGACUAUAGAUUAUGGUUAAUUCUCGUCAAAAAUUUUUCUCGUUUUUCAACCGCCCCGACAAGACGCCGAGAGUAAUGCCAAGGGAAAAAAAGCGCGAGUCGGCCAUGACCGCAAGCUCCAAAACUUUUCCACGUAAAUGACUAACGUUUGCGCAAGGAGCUGCGCCAACUUUUAACGGAGACCGAGGGACGAUCGGAGAGAGUCCACCCUUUGACGACUUGCGUCGUUCCUUCGACAUAGGCGGUUCCUUGACUUUCGGCAAAAAAGUUUCAAUUUAUUACGAAUCCAAAAACGAAGUGCGCGAGUCUCGUCGAGAAAGCUUUGGCUCAGAAAUAUUUUUACCAGGAAUCGCAGGACUGCACGUACGUCAUCCCCGGAAAGAGGAUCUAAAAAAUGUUCUCGAGGGAAAAAAAAAGCAAGAGAGAAGAUUCCUCUGUAAAUCCAGAGAAGCAAAGAACAAAAAAAAAGAAGCUCACACGAAAAUCAGUUAAAAAUAAAUUUUACGAGUCUUAAGGUCAAAUUUGUACAGACGCGAUCCUUUAUCUCGUUCCAGUUGAUAUAGACUUGUAACGACGUAAUCAGGGCGAAUUAGCCAAGCGUCGUUGUCGAUUCUGUAAUGCCUAUUCACUCCGGGGCCGGAUCUUAAACUUAUUCCGAGAGCCGUGCGCCGUAAGGAUUACCAGAAGAUAUUUCUUUGGAUUGCUGCAGGGCCGAGCCAGCCGACCGAGGCAAUCGCAUCGAAGUGCAACUUGUAAUGAACUUUGUAACGAACUAAGUUUCGGGGCUCGUAAAGCGGAAGUGUUGUACGAGAGCAGUUACGAAGUGGCUGCUGCUUUAAUCGUUCGUUAACGCACGUCACGUUUCGCGUUCGAGCUCCCAGCAAUGGGGUAACGUACAGCGAGAAAAAACAAAAAGAAGAGAUAGCGAAAAGAUAUACACUCGAGCACACAAUGGAAAAGAAUAGAAUACAAUAGAAUAAUAAAGGUCUGCUCACAGUGAA